rnacentral:pre_miRNA from 1 species
AGCCUUAAGUAUCCAUGCUGACAUUUCAUCACACACCAGACCACAAAGGUUGAUGAGAAUCCCAAGAUAAGUGAAGCG